UACGUAGGGUGCGAGCGUUGUCCGGAAUUAUUGGGCGUAAAGAGCUUGUAGGCGGUCUGUCGCGUCUGCUGUGAAAAUCCGGGGCUCAACCCCGGACUUGCAGUGGGUACGGGCAGACUAGAGUGUGGUAGGGGAGACUGGAAUUCCUGGUGUAGCGGUGAAAUGCGCAGAUAUCAGGAGGAACACCGAUGGCGAAGGCAGGUCUCUGGGCCACUACUGACGCUGGAGAAAGCGAAAGCAUGGGAGCGAACAAG
rnacentral:rRNA from 1 species